GCGUUGAAGGCGAAGCGUGAGCUUUACUGGAGCGUGUGGAAAAGCAAAUGUAGGUAUAAGUAACGAUAAAGGGGGUGAGAAACCCCCUCGCCGCAAGACUAAGGUUUCCUGAUCAACGCUAAUCGGAUCAGGGUUAGUCGGGUCCUAAGGCUCAGCCGAACGGUGAGGCCGAUGGCAGAACAGGUUAAUAUUCCUGUACUACCUAUAGGAGUGAUGUGGAGACGGAGGAGUGACAACGCCGCGGACUGACGGAAUAGUCCGUUAAAGGGUGUAGAUGUUGAUUAUCCCAGGCAAAUCCGGGAUAAGAGUCGAACCUGACAGUAUACCAAUUUCCUCGGAAAACGGUAAUAGUGCGUGUAAACAUACUCCCAAGAAAAUCCGCUAAACUUAAUCUUAUAGGUACCCGUACCGUAAACGGACACACGUAGUCGGGUUGAAUAUACUCAGGCGCUUGAGUGAAUCACGGUUAAGGAACUAGGCAAAUUGACCCUGUAACUUCGGGAUAAAGGGUCCCUACCCGGUGACGGGAGGGCGCAGAGAAUAGGUCCAGGCAACUGUUUAACAAAAACACAGGGCUGUGCAAAAUUGAAAGAUCACGUAUACAGCCUGACACCUGCCCGGUGCUGGAAGGUUAAGAGGAGAUGUCAUCGCAAGAGAAGCAUUGAAUUGAAGCCCCAGUAAACGGCGGCCGUAACUAUAACGGUCCUAAGGUAGCGAAAUUCCUUGUCGGGUAAGUUCCGACCUGCACGAAUGGUGUAAUGAUCUGGACACUGUCUCAACCGUGAGCUCAGUGAAAUUGUAGUAUCGGUGAAGAUGCCGAUUACCCGCGAUGGGACGAAAAGACCCCGUGAACCUUUACUAUAGCUUAACAUUGAAUUUGGGUAAUUGAUGUGUAGGAUAGGCCGGAGACUUUGAAGCAGGUACGCCAGUAUUUGUGGAGUCGCUGUUGAAAUACGGCCCUUUGGUUAUUUGAGUUCUAACUCGCUGAUGCGAGGACACUGUUUGGUGGGUAGUUUGACUGGG
rnacentral:rRNA from 1 species